rnacentral:misc_RNA from 1 species
GAUGAAGAACGUAGCGAAAUGCGAUAAGUAAUGUGAAUUGCAGAAUUCAGUGAAUCAUCGAAUCUUUGAACGCACAUUGCGCCCCCCAGUAUUCUGGCGGGCAUGCCUGUUCGAGCGUCAUUUCAACCAUCAAGCCCUGCUUGUGUUGGGGUCCUGCGGCUGCCCGCAGGCCCUGAAAACCAGUGGCGGGCUCGCUAGUCACACCGAGCGCAGUAGCACAUCUCGCUCAGGGCGUGCGGCGGGCUCCAGCCGUUAAAGUACCCACCUUUCGCAAGGUUGACCUCGGAUCAGGUAGGAAUACCCGCUGAACUUAAGCAUAUCAAUAAGCGGAGGA